ensembl:lncRNA
AGUUCAAAGCCAGUCUGGGGUACAUAGCAAGAUCCUAUCUCAAAAAACCAAACCAACAAAUAAGCAACAACACAAAAGAACAUGAUCCAAUGGGUUUGCCCUGCUGUUGCUGCUUGUUUUGAAGGCAGGAGAGUGUUCCCGUGACUUAACCCAGGGUCUUGUGCCUGCUAAACACAAGCUAUACUCAGUGAGCCACGCCCAAGCGCACAGGUUAUUGUGUAUGUGGUGACUCCUACUCUCCUGUGUGCUCCAUCUCCUUUCUACCGAAUCAGUUUUUAGAUGACCACUCUGCAACUAAUCACAACCCAGCAUGUGUUUCUUCAUAAAUAAUGCAACUCAGUAAACAGUAAUGGCUAGCACUUGAGUGCCUACUGAGUGCUGAGACUGGUCUAAGUACACUCCAUAAAUUACCCUCCAUGAACCCUCCAAACACACCAUCUCAAUUACCUGGCUGAAUUAGGGGCAAUGGAUUUACUUAGAUCAUAGGAGCCUGGAUGUAACCAAGCAUCGUAAGAAAUCUGUGUGGACAGAAGGGGACAGGGAGGAAGCAAGAGGUGAGGAAAAAAGUAAUCAACACCAAGUACAGCUUCUUAUGCCUUAGCAUCUUUGCCACACAAGGAUUUAAAGUAACAUUGACUGUGAGUUACAGGCUUAGAAAUACGUAGACCUAAAAACUCUAUUAAUUCUAGAGCCAAAAAGAUGGGCAAACACAUGUGAUCAUCUCUAGGGCUCUACAUGGGCUUGCUUGACAAAACAAGCUUUCUGAAGAACGUUUUAUUUCAAACACAACAAUCUCUCAAACAUACCAGCAAAAGCCCUUCCCUUUCUAGGAAAAAAAUAUAUAUAAAUAUUUUAAAAUGUCAAGAAUUUGUUAUCUGAGAUCUACAGAGACUCGUCUAGUUGGCUUCUCCCAACCUGCCCUGCCGUGGCCUGACCUUGCAACACAGAUGGAAAGGCUCACCUGUGGCCUAGAGCAGCUGCACCGCCUAGACUGGAAAACUAGAUAAAUAUCACACAUACAGGAGGCCCUGGGGAACAGCCGCCGCAUGAGCAUCGGCGACGGCGAUGUGGUCACAGCUCCAAACGAGAAAACAACACCUGGCGCUUUAAAGAAGAGGGACGACGGGUGAAGAGGCUGUGCCUAGCAGCUUGUCGCUAUUACCGAGGUAAGGUGUCAUGUGACCUGGAGCUGGCCUCCAAUUCUCUGAGUACCCAAGAAGUUCAACCUUGAACUUCUGAUCCCCCUGCCUUCACCUCCCAAGUUCUGGGAAUUUCAGGAUAGCAUCACCUGCCCUUCUAAAAGACAAUUCUCUCUGUGAAAUGCUAUCUGACACCAUGCCACACCCAAAAGCCCAUAUAAAGGCAGAAAAGGAGCCAGGCAUUGUGGUUCCCACCUAUAAUUCCAGGAAUCUGAGAGGUCAAGACAAGUGAGGCUAAAGCAAGAGAAUUGUCCCAAGUCUGAUGAUAGCCUGAGCUAUAUGGUGAAUUCAAGACCAGCCUGGGCAUGGUGGUGCAUGCUAUGUACAGCAAGACCAGCAAGACCCUGUUUCAAAACACCCUCUCCCAGAAACAGAAAACCAGGGAAGGAGAAAAGAAAAUGUCAAUUCAUUUCUGAAACUUCUCACCUUUCCGUCCCCAAGCUAUGACUAGCCCUCUUUGCGAUACAGUCUGCUUUUUAAAAGCCCCCAUAAGCCAGAGAGACAUUUCUCCUCUUGCUUCCUCUGUAGUUUGUAGCCUGGUGACUUUUAUGUCAACUUAAGUGUCUGGGAGGAGGAAACCUCAACUGAGAAAAUGCCUCUGGAAGACCUGCAGGGCAUUUUCUUAAUUAGGGAUUGAUGGGGAGAGGGCCCAGCCCUCUGGGUGGUGCCAUCCCUGGACUGGUGGUCCUCAGUUCUAUAAGAAAGCAGACCAAGAAAGCCAGUAAGCAGCACCCUUCCACAGCUUUUGCAUCAGCUCCUGCCUCCAGGCUCCUGCUCUGUUUGAGUUCCUGUCCUGACUUCCUUUAAUAAAGAAUAGUGUUAUGGAAAUAUAAGUAAAAUAAAUCCUUUCCUCACCAACCUG